UGAACGCUAGCGGCAGGCCUAACACAUGCAAGUCGAGGGGGCAGCAUGAAAGUAGCUUGCUACUUUUGAUGGCGACCGGCGCACGGGUGCGUAACAGGUGUGCAAUCUGUACCAUAAUCGGGGAAUAGCCAGCGAAAGUUGGAUUAAUGCUCCAUGUGAGUUUAGAGGCAUCUCUUUAAUUUGAAACGUAAGGAUUAUGGGUGAGCACGCUUCUGAUUAGGUAGUUGGUGAGGUAACGGCUCACCAAGCCGACGAUCAGUAGGGGUUCUGAGAGGAAGGUCCCCCACAUUGGAACUGAGACACGGUCCAAACUCCUACGGGAGGCAGCAGUGAGGAAUAUUGGUCAAUGGUCUGACGACUGAACCAGCCAUGCCGCGUGAAGGUCACGGCCCUAUGGGUCUUAAACUUCUUUUGUAAGGGAGCAAUAAGCCUCACGUGUGGGGUGAUGAGAGUAUCUUACGAAUAAGCAUCGGCUAACUCCGUG
rnacentral:rRNA from 1 species